GGAACAGUCUAACAGGGACAACCACCUUUCAAGACAUGGAUGAAACCAGUUUCACUGUUCCCUCUGAAGAUAAAAUAUAAAGCAACAGCUGCCAAGAGUAGGCAAGAGGAUGAUGCACAGCAAAACUGACUCUCUUUGAAGGUUAAAGCAAGCUGCCAAAAGAAGGCUACAGAGAAAUGAAAGACUCAGUUUCGUCUGACCCAACUCUACUUCCUGCCCCAUUCUGCUGCAGUGUGUGUCAUUCUUGCU
rnacentral:lncRNA from 12 species